rnacentral:rRNA from 1 species
CCUACGGGAGGCAGCAGUAGGGAAUAUUGCUCAAUGGGGGAAACCCUGAACCAGCAACGCCGCGUGAAGGAUGAAGGCUUUCGGAGUGUAAACCUCUUUUUUUAGAGAAGUUAAUGACGGUACCUAACGAAUAAUCACCGUCUAACUCCGUUCCAGCAGCCGCGGUAAUACGGAGGGUGCCAGCGUUAUCCGGAUUUACUGGGCGUAAAGGGAGCGUAGACGGGUUAGCAAGUCCGAUGUGAAAGUUUAGGGCUUAACCAUAGAACUGCAUUUGAAACUGUUAUUCUAGAGUAUAGGAGAGGUAGGUGGAAUUCUUGGUGUAGCGGUGAAAUGCGUAGAGAUCACGAGGAA